rnacentral:rRNA from 1 species
CGGGGUAUACGGAUCAGUAACAAGUGGACAAUCUGCCCUAGAGACAGUGCUAACCUCGUGAAAGUGAGGAAAGAACUGAUAGGUGAAAAGUCCUGAAAUGGUUCCUCGCUCAAAGGAUACUAGGACACAUGCUGUUCAGUUUGCACUACGAUGAGAGUAAAGCUGAUCAGGUAGUUGAUGGGGUAACGGCCUACCAAGCCUAUUACCAGUACGGGCCGUGAGAGCGGGAGCCCGUAGAUGGGCACUGAGACAAGGGCCCAGGCCCUACGGGGCGCAGCAGGAGCGAAACCUCCGCAAUGCGCGAAAGCGCGACGGGGCCACCCCGAGUGCUAUCCGUUGAGGAUAGCUUUUCAUUAGUCUAAGAAGCUGAUGGAAUAAGCGGGGGGCAAGCCUGGUGUCAGCCGCCGCGGUAAUACCAGCUCCGCGAGUGGUCGGGACGUUUAUUGGGUCUAAAGCGUCCGUAGCCGGCUUACUAAGUCUCCGGCUAAAGCCCACGGCUUAACCGUGGGAUUGCCGAAGAUACUGGUAGGCUUGGGGGCGGAAGAGCCCGAGGGUACUUCCGGGGUAGGGGCGAAAUCCUAUAAUCCCGGAAGGACCACCAGUGGCGAAGGCGCUCGGCUAGUACGCGCCCGACGGUGAGGGACGAAAGCUGGGGGAGCGAACCGGAUUAGAUACCCGGGUAGUCCCAGCUGUAAACGAUGCAGACUAGGUGUUGGAUAGGCUUCGGGCCUAUCCAGUGCCGCAGUGAAGACAAUAAGUCUGCCACCUGAGGAAACGNCCGGCAGGCUGAAC